rfam:Gossypium raimondii Chr01_contig_871, whole genome shotgun sequence.
CACGUCAGCGCGACCUGCUGACGUGGAAGGAAAUCGCACCCUCAAGGACGCGAUUUCCUUCCUCGUCAGUAGGUCGCGCUGACGUGG